CCCUGCCUUUUGUACACACCGCCCGUCGGUACUACCGAUUGAAUGGCUUAGUGAGAUCUUCGGAUUGCCAGUUCUUGCUGAAAGGCUAGAAUUGAUAAAAAGUUGCUCAAACUUGGUCAUUUAGAGGAAGUAAAAGUCGUAACAAGGUUU
rnacentral:rRNA from 1 species